UGACAUCUAGUCCCUGAUUUCACACAUGUCGAGUUCUCUAAUUUUUCUAGGCUGCGUUUGGUUCGGGUAUAAGUAAGAACUGCUAGUUCCAGGGAUAGGUACAAGUUCAGGUAUAAGCAGGAACUAGACCAAUUUUGCGUUUGGAUGAAAAUUGAGUUAUUCCUAGGAAUAAGGUAAAUAGGUUUAAUGACAUUUCUAUACAAGUGGUCUUCCUACCACUACAUUGUCCAACCUAUGUUCAAUGUCACUAGGUUCAAUGUCACUACGUUCAAUGUUCAAUUAUGUUCUUUCUCUAUUCUAGUUGUCCACACCUAGGAUUCAUAAUUCCAUGACAUCUAGUCCCUGAUUUCACACAUGUCGAGUUCGAAUAAGGUAAAUAGUGUUUGGAUGGUUAGAUUGAAACAAAAGGAAUAAAAGUUAUAAUUUGAAAUUAAAAUUAUAUUAUGUAAUUAAUUAACAUCAAAAUAAUACUUAAAAUAAAUAAUAAAUUAAUUAUAAAUAAUAAUAAUUAUUUAUAAUUAUUAAUAAUUAAUUAUACAUAAUAA
rnacentral:lncRNA from 1 species